CAAUAGCGUAUAUUAAAGUUGUUGCAGUUAAAAAGCUCGUAGUUGGAUUUCUGGUCGGAAGCUCCUGUCCUCUGAUGAGCGUACAAGCGCGUCCUACCAUCCUUCUGUUAACCUUUAAGGCUUUCGCGGCUUUCUAGGGGCUCAGAUAUUUUACCUUGAGAAAGUUAGAGUGUUUCAGGCAGGCUAGCGCCGGAAUACAUUAGCAUGGAAUAAUGGAAUAGGACUUUUGCCUCUUCUGUUGGUCAUGAGGCUCGAGUAAUGAUUAAUAGGGAUAGUUGGGGGCAUUAGUACUUAACUGUCAGAGGUGAAAUUCUCGGAUUUGUUAAAGACUAACUUAUGCGAAAGCAUUUGCCAAGGGUGUUUNCAUCAA
rnacentral:rRNA from 1 species